CAGGUAGGAAAUAUAUAAUCAACCAUGACACGUGCAUUCUGUUUUGAGAUAUGUAGAGAGGGAUCUCUUAACCCCUUAAGGACCAAACUUCUGGAAUAAAAGGGAAUCAUGACAUGUCACACAUGUCAUGUGUCAACCAUAACACAUGCAUUCUGUUUUGAGAUAUGUAGAGAGGGAUCUCUUAAAUGACUUUAGGGAAGAUUUUAAAUUGUGCGGGAGGUCGUUCCAC